GUCUUCUGUUAAUUUUCUACAGGGUUGCAUUUUUUGAAUUGCAUCUCUGUAAAAUUAUUUUACAAUAAUACGUAAAAUUAUUUUACACUGAUAAUUGGCUGCCUUGCACAUUAAGAAUUUUUGGAAUCCUGAAGCUUAGUUCCUCAUGGUUUAAGAGAUUUGGGUAUUAAUUCCAAAUGGCAUCUCACAAAGGGCCAAAUUCCAUCCAGGGAUAAAUGACUGCUCAUCCAUGCCAACCUUAAUGUGAUCUGCUCUGCUCAGCAGAGGACAGGAUUUCACAGAAGGCUAUUUGAUUCUGCACCCAUUUGCAAAAGUGAAUACUUUCUGCUUCUCUUGGGCACUGCUGAAAUGGUAAACGAUGUUAAAUGCUGCUAAGAGCAUCAAAAAGAACUUGAGCAGGUAUUCUUACUGAUAAAAAAACAUUUUUGAAUUAGCAGGCAGAAUCUCAUGAAUGAAAGGUGCUCUGCCUUGUAGUAGCCUGUGAGUGGGAAAAACAGCUUUUGACAACAAAGCUUUUUAAAGGAUAAUGCAAAUUGUCUUUCAAAAUUAAAAUUAAAUUUCUUUACAAAGAAAGUAGUGUAAUGCAAACAAGGUAAUAGCUAAGAUACUGAUGUGCUGGCUACAAAAGAUAACUCCUGUGCUUUCUAGAACUCUGAGGAUCUGUUCAUCAUCUCUCAAACUUCUCUAAGGCUCAAACAGUCCUCUGCUGGUUCCAAGAGUUUAAAGAUAUCUGAAUAAUUGUUUCAGGCCUAGUGCCAAAGAUUGCUUGAACAUCUUGCAGAGAUGACUUAGUUCUGAAAAUAUGUGUGCAGAUAGGCAAUAGUAGACUUGCAAGAUAUCCUCUCCAAAGUUCUGGGAUAAAAACUUAAAGCAACAAAAUCUGUUUCUUUCUCCCCUGCUUUUCCUUUCAGGAUGUAGCUAAUUUUUCUUGCUGUGAUUUCCCCUAAAUGUGCCCUGGCAAAAUACCACUUCCUCUUGUGUGUACCAAUAUGGAAGGAUAAUUUGCUGGAGUAAUAUAGGGUAUAGAAACAACCAAGAAAGAAUAAGGAAGUAAUUUAUUUUUUAUUCAGCCUGCAUGAUAAACUUCAUGCUUCACUCUGAAUCAGAGAUACCUAAAAAAAUCUAAUGAAUAGUUACCUUUAUUAAUCAGUUCAUUUAUUUACUAUAAGCCUUUUUACUUGCAAGUAGUGCUUGCAGGCUUUGGGACAGAAAAUUCAUUAUUCCUCCCUCCUCCCCUGGUAAUUUUUGUGUAAUUACCUGACAGCUUUAAAGGUCAAAAUUGUAACUCUACAGACAAACAUCACGAAACUACCCUCAAAGAAGUGGCUCGGAAACACAAAGCAGUGGUAACGUGUUAUCUUUUUUAUUAUCAUUAUUCUUAAGAGUAACUACUGCUGGUCUCUGAUAAGCACAUUCAAGCAGCACAAACAACCCCACACCCAGCUCCUUUUGACAAAAAGCUGUUUUAGUGCCUGUCCUCUAGGGAAUGCUUGGGCAGGAGCGACACUUAGAGGAAGGCAGAGAUGACACACUUUGUCAGAAUUUUUUUUUUAAAAUCAGUUUUCGAUAUAACGAAAUUAAUACUUAUAAACAAAAUUAAUUUUCCUGCCCAUGCCGAGGCAGGGAUAUAGUGGGUGCCUCUGUUUGGAUUUCCUUGAGCCCCCAGCAUCACUUUAGAUGAUGGGCCUUGCUGAGUUUGGCUCCAGGUCCUGCUGAUGACACCUCCUUAACUUCUCAGACAUCAGACUGCUAUUUCCUUCAUUUACUCUUCCUCUGGGGAAGCCUGUCCUCCCAGCACACACCAGAUCCACAUUUCCUCCCCUCAGAUUCCUGAUUCACGGACAUUAUCCAACACCUGCACAGGAUUUCCCUGAAAGAAUAACUCUUUCCUAUUUGUCUUUCAGUUUAAGAAAAAUCAGCCAAAUUCCUUCAGGUCUCCUGAACAACCUCUGAAAAACUUCCAACACUCUUAGCCUGUAGAACCUUAAUGUUUUUCCUUUUUUCCAGUCAUGGGGAGGAAGCUCACUCCCAGGUGAGGCUGAGUUCCACUCAGAAGGUCUAACUCUCUUCCUCCAAAAUAUUGUACAAUAAUCAGGGUAGAAACCAUUGCUCUGAUGGCCUUGAAACAUUUAGGAUAGCCCAUGCUGCUGGUGAAGUCUCAUUCUCACCAAGAAUCACUGGGUUAUGUUUCAAUGGAAAUGUUUUUCCUCUAUUUUCUACCCUGCACAAAUCAGACUUGUAAGGAAAUGAAAGCUGCAGCAAAUGAAGGCUGUAGCACAGCCUUGUUUCCUGCAGUACAACCAACUCUGGACUGCAAAUUCAAAAGCCUAAUUUUUAGGCUUUUGAAAGAGGGUUAUUAAAUCCUAAAGUGUGGUGUUCUCCAUUUAGAGGUUAAAGAUUUUACAAGUUGAGCUGUUAACAUCUACCUACUUCACCUUGAAGUAUCAAGGCACUUGUAUCUACUUUUCAUCUCUUUUAGGAAUUUCCAAACUACAGUGAAAGUGUGCUGGUUUGAAAUUGCAAGUAAUUACAUCUUCAAGAAAAUUCUGCUUUUCCCACUUAAACUCAUUCCUUCAUAAAAAAUCAAAUAAUCUUAAUUAUUUUAUUACUUUAUUACUCAAAUCAAGUAAUUUCACAGAUGCGGUUUAGCAUCGUUAUCAAUUCCUGUUCACUGCUGGAAGGCUUAAUUUUCCCUACAUAAAGCUGGCAGCUCUUAAACACUCCCAAAAGGCCAAAGGAGAAUUGUGGGAUUUUCUGUGUGUAGUGUUGGGCACAGUUUAAGCAGCAUAUUUAAGGUACUGGAAUGCAUCCAGAGUCCCUUGAGCAGCUGAGGACUUUGGGUUUGUCCUGUUUGGAGGGAUGGCCUCGUGGUUCUCUGCAGCUUCCCGAGGAGGGGAUGUGGAGAGGGAGCUACAGAACUCCCUGGGAUCCAGUGACAGGAUGGGUGGGAAUGGCUCAAAGCUGUUUCAGAGGAGGUUCAGGAACAGAGUCCCUACAGAGGUGAUGGAUACCCCAUGCCUGACCCCUGCCUUAAAACAAAUUAUUUGGACAACAGCCUUAAUAAAAGGCUAAUCUCAGCUCUGGAAUGGUCAGGCAGUUGAACUAGAUUAUUUUCAUAGGAAUAUUUCCAUUUCUAUUAUUUCUAGUUCUACUUCUAUUUCUUUCUAUUAUUUCCAUUUCUAUUCUAAUUCCCCAUUUUUUAAGGGCUUGCUGGAGGAACCUGUUGAUUUCACUCUUAGCUAUCUCUUGGGCAGGGACUUUGGUUUUGUAGAUAGCAGCAGAGUGAUGUAUUAAUUACAUGAACAGCCUCUUUCAUGCCUGCUUUAAUCUCAUUUGCUUAACUCCUCAUGUAACUGCUGAGAUGACUCUAAGGAUCACCUUAUGGCUUAUCUCUCAUGCACACACCCCUCCGUUCUCUGUGCAGAGAAAACUCCAGCAGGUUUAUGUCUCACUGCCUCUUUUCACUUGUGGAGAGAGUAAACAAACCUGCAGCAGGGAGGAAGGGAGGGAGAGAGGAAAGGGUGUCCCAAGGGGCCAGGGCCCUUGGCAUGGAGCUUAUCCCAUAAAUGCUUUUGGAUCUGUCUACAGGAAACUCCUGGAGGAGGUCACUCCCAGAGCUGGCUGCUGAGCAGAGUAUUCCUGAGAGCCCAGGGCAGGCAGAACCCAGGAAAAUCUAUCUUCAAGAUUAUUGCACUUUCCAGCUGUGGUGCUCAGGAAUUCAUCUGCUCUACACUCUUUUGGCUAAACUGGGGCAUCCAAGCCUGCAAAAAAGCUCCAGUCUUUUGAGAGAUAAUGAGGAUGUUCUGGCACAGAAACUCAUCUUCAGUGCCUUUCACGGGGGAGUUAUCUGUGUCAGGUAAGAAAUCAGGGAGUUUGUGGAAAACAACUAGGAGGAAUAACAUUAAAAACAAAAGAAAAAACAAAACAAAACAAAAAAACCCCAAACAAACAGAAGGUGUUACCUGUUCUUAAAACAUGGAAAUGGACUCAGUAUUACUAGCAACUUCUGCAGAAAACAAAGUUGUGUCAAUCAUAGAUCUUUAAUCACUAUGACAGUUCUUAAUGGAAGAGCAACAAGGUGCAAGAUAUAGUUUAUAUUUUUACCAAGUAAAUAUAAAUGCAAUUUGUUUUUUUAGAUUUGAGACUACUUAGAAAAAAAAAUAAGAAGAUUGGGCUGCUACAUAGCUCCUGUACAUCUACACAGACAUUCUGAUUUUCCAAAGCAGCUCAUGAGUUUUCCAAAUGGAAAAGCAAUCACAGUUGCCCAACAUCUGGAAAUGGGAAUGUGUGAGGAUAUCAGCAACUAAAAUUUCUCAAGGCUUUUACUUUUUUUUGAGGCAUUUCUUACAUCUCCAUGGCAAGGUCUCUCCUGGUGCUCCAAAACAGAACGGUCUUCCAGGAUCUACUUCCCCCAGUUCUGCAUGUUGAAUAAAGACAUUUCAGUGGCUGAAAGGGUGUCAGUACAAAACUCAUCAGUGGUAACUAAAUAAAGUGGUAAAAUAAUUACUGUAAAUAGAUGUACUGUCCAUUGAGGGAAAAAAAAACAAAACCCAAACAUCAUUAAUCAGCGACAGAAAAAUGAAAAAUUCAGAUGACAAACUAAAAAAAGUGCAACUUUGGCAGAAAAAUGAGAAUACCUUUCAAAGAGAUUGUGUCUUAAAACAAUGCUGAUAUAUUGAAUCACCAGGAAGUUUUCGAUCAUUAAAACAUUGUAUUUGGGGAAAAGUUUUCAAAAUAGUGUAUUUUUUUUCUGUAUGUAUUUAAUGAUAGAAAAUUGUUGUUUUGGUUUUUUUGUUUCUUUAAAUAACUAAACAAAUCUUUCUGGUCAAGCAAAAAAAGAAAAAAGAACCCCCAACGACCUGAAAGGCAUCUAGAAUAGCUAAAUUAUGUGUAGAAUCUCCCUUCAGAUACACAUUCCUCAUUUUUGUCAGUAUUUAGGUCCAGAUGAUUGUGAUUCUAGAAAUGCAUUUGGCUGGACAAUAUUAAAUGUAUCACAGCUGAGUGUUCCUCCCACAGCUCUGAAAAAGUGGCAUCUAUCAGCACUGUAGAUGGAAGGACAAGAAACCUUCAAAUAUGUUAUUUUUAAAUUUAAAAAAGGAAUUCUGCAAGAAAUUCUUAGGUCUGGCAGGUCUUGAGUAAGAUGGGAUGCAUGAGGUGCAGAAUCACCAAGAGGUCACAGCUGCUGCAAAGGCUACCACGUUUUCCAGCUGCCUGCUGAACCCAGGAGGUGGUGCCAGGAAACUGGUCAUUGUCUCUGCCACAUUCCUGGAAUCCCUUAGGCAAACUGUGAUGCCGAAGCUCCAAGACUGGAUGGAUAUUCCCAGAUCCACUGAAGCCCCAGAGUGGUUCAGAAAAAGGCUUGGAUCUCUGAGGUGCUGCUGACCAGGAAGAGUUAGGAGCAGGAGCAGGGCACCAAGUAAGCCUCCAUGCACUGGAGCCAUGAAUUCUCCUCUACACUCAAAUAAAUGUAUUUUUUUUAAAAUAUUGCCUCUGACAGACUUGUCUGAGUCAUAGGAUGGUCUGAGUUAAGGGGAUAAAUAAUGAGCAUUGUCACACUGAAGUUUUAUGACUGAGAAAAACUCGGAAUUUAAAAAAAAACCCUCAAGAAUUGUCUUUAUUACUCAGUCUGUACCUUCACCUUUACUCUGAAAAAAUACAAAAAAUUCAUAUUCUCUGUAACAGAAAAUGUCAUAAUUAUACAAUCACCUCCUUUUCCUGUCACCUUUAUACCCUGAACUGCGUCAUUCCAUGCUUGGUGAGAAUUUUGGUGAACAGCAGUUAAUAAGCCCAGAGAGCAAAAGAACACCUUAAUGAGAUCAUCUACUUGGAAGGGGAAGGAGAACCUGUAAAAUUGCAAUUAUACUUCAAAUGAUGCUUUCAAGAUCCACAGUUAAACUGAGUCAUUAAUAAACCAUUUUUUCCAGUUGUAUCAAAAAUCACUGGAAUUUUGGAUGCAAGGUAGCAAAAGGUCUUUGGUUAUAAACAAGCUUUAGGUUUUCAGACCAAAGCACAUUUCCCUCAUUUUUUCAGCAUCUUCUUUGGGUGUAACAGAGAUGGCUCAUUAUGUUGGUGUAGUUUAUGGGAUGGAGGGUGAUGUUUGUACCAGCAGUACAGUCUUUAUUUCCAGCAAAAAUAAUGCUUUAACCACACCUGCUCAACAGAGAAACCUGAAGAGCUCAAAACCCAACCUGUGUUGCUUGCAUUUUUGUCUGUAGAACAUCAGCUAAGAAAAUCCACAUAGAUCUGCUCCCAGAAAAGACAGAGAGGGCUGCUCCCUUUGCAGGGAUCAGCCCAGGAAGACUGGAGGUGAUUAAUUAGGAGCUGAGAGAGAAAACUUCUGUCUCAGCUGCAGCACCACACAGAAACUGGUGCUGCUUAAUGCAACCUGUUUGAUGCCGAACACAAGAUUGCUGCUGGACCAAGCCUGAAGACUUGGCUACUCAUCAUUCUGAACUGGCUUGGCUUUUGGAAGGACUCCACUGAAAGCCAGGGAAAACAGAGAACAGCCAUGAAGAAAAGGUCUCUUAGACACUGGAAGGAAACUGAAGCAUGGAAUCUGCCGAGUUGGAAGGGACCAUCCAGUCCAGCUCCUGGCCCCAACAAUCCCACCCUGUGCCUGACCAGAGCAGUGUCCAAACACUCCCUGAACUCUGUCAGGUUUGGUGUUGUUACCACUGCCCUGGGAAACCUGUUCCAGUGCCCAAACACCCUCUGGGGGAAGAACCUUUUCCUGAUACCCAAUGUAAACCUGAAAACCCUGGCCCAGCUUCAGGCUUCAGGUCCUGCCAGUGGUCAGCAGAGUGAAGAGAUCAGUGCCUGCCCCUCCUCUUCCCCACCUGAGGAUUUUCAAGACCCCAGUGAGUCUCCCCUCAGUCUCCUCCAGCUGAACAGAUCCUCAAAGUGCCCUCAGUCCCCCCUCCAGACCCCUCCCCAUCCUCACUGCCCUCUCCAACUGCUUAAUGCCCAGAUCACCCUUUUGUUAAAGACAACACUUUACACACCAUUUCAGUACCCCUUGCCUGGGAAAUCAACGUUAGAAAUAUUAACAUUAAAAAAAUACACAGUGCAAAUUACAUAACGAUAAAAAAGUUGCUUAAACCAACGUUACAAUUUGCUGAUUCUAUCCAGAAGAGAGUUAAGACAUAUCCCCAAGCAGUUCCCAAAACCAGGGUGAAAUGGUACAGUCCCAAAACAAUUAGACAGCACAAAAUUCUGUUUCCUUUACAGAAGUUACCAGUUUACUCUGACCAUCACUGGUUAGGAAAAUUAAUGAAAAAAUAAGAAAUUUUGUUAUUUCAGCACGAGCAACUACUACCAGCAAAGGCAUGCUGCACAUGUGAUUAACUUUUUAACAAUUAGGAACUCUGACAUGUGAACAGAUAAAAAGCAGAAAAGUCAAAACCCAGGUUUAGUAAGGCAGGUAAUGGAAUGUGCUAUUAUGUGUAAGAAAUAUUUCUUCAAAUACUGCAAUCCUUUAAAUGCCUGCUCUUAGCAGUACUGAAUUGUUCAAUUGCAUAAACUGAUUAUGUGUAUUAGUGACAUACUUUCCUUCUGAAACUCAAGAACUCAAAGGUGAGCAAAAUUUAUGGGCAAAAGUUGGGCUGAAUAGUGUCUACUCACAAUAAAAGCCAAAACUCAGUAGUGACAAAAUACUUUAGACACAAACAUCAGUGUUGCACAUGUUUUUCAGCUAUAUUAAAAACAAUAUUCAACAUAAAAAUUGUUUCCGGCCGAACUAACAAACUACACAACAAUUUCCUGCAUCAAGUAAAUAAUUAAAAAAAAUAUCCCCUGCAAGAGUCAGCACAGAAAAACUCCAGAUCUUCUGCGAGCUGCACAUUAUCUCACUGCACACAGGAGGAGGAAAGAAACAAGAACUGCGAGGUAAAGGGUUUAUAUCUGCACAUACAGUCUACAGACCCCUGAAGGAAACACAGCUCAGUAAAAUCUCACUACCCUGAAGGCUUUCAGUCAUAUUUGUCUGCAAACAAAAAGAUCCAUGGAAGUUAGGUGUGUGUCUAAUCAUGGAAAAUGUUUAGACAGAACAGACAGGAAGCUCAAGUCACCAUUGGAAUACAAAGAUUGAAAAUACUGCAGAAAUCUGAAGCAUACAUUGCUCAACACUGCUAAUUUACAAGGUUGUUAUUCAAAGAUCACUGACCACUAAAAUUAUUUCACAAACCAAUCUGUUUUUACAGGUCUUAAUCCUAUAAAUA